rnacentral:rRNA from 1 species
UACGUAGGGGGCAAGCGUUGUCCGGAAUCAUUGGGCGUAAAGCGCGUGUAGGCGGCCAGGUAAGUCCGUUCUGAAAGCCCGGGGCUCAACCCCGGGAGGCGGAUGGAUACUGCUUGGCUCGAGUCCGGAAGAGGCGAGCGGAAUUCCUGGUGUAGCGGUGAAAUGCGCAGAUAUCUGGAGGAAUACCGGUGGCGAAGGCGGCAUCCUGGACCGGCAUUGACGCUGAUGAGCGAAAGCUAGGGGAGCAAACGGG